rnacentral:lncRNA from 1 species
UUUUUUUUUUUUUUGACAGGCUCUCAGUGUCACCAAGGCUGGAAUGCAGUGGCGCAACCACAGCUCACUGCAGCCUUGAUCUCCAGGGCUCAAGUGAUCCUCCCACCUCAGCCUCCUAAGUGGCUGGGACUACAAGCAUGCACCCCCAUGCCUAACUAAUUUUUUAACUUUUUUUUUUUUUUUUUUUUUUUUUUUGAGACGGAGUCUCGCUCUGUCACCCAGGCUGGAGUGCAGUGGCCGGAUCUCAGCUCACUGCAAGCUCCGCCUCCCGGGUUUACGCCAUUCUCCGGCCUCAGCCUCCCGAGUAGCUGGGACUACAGGCGCCCGCCACCUCGCUUCGUUUUUUUUUUUUGUAUUUCUUAAUAGAGACGGGGUUUCACCGUGUUAGCCAGGAUGGUCUCGAUCUCCUGACCUCGUGAUCCGCCCGUCUCGGCCUCCCAAAGUGCUGGGAUUACAGGCUUGAGCCACCGCGCACGGCCAAUUUUUUAACUUUUUAUAGACAUGGAGGCGGCAGGUGUCUCACUAUGUUGCCCAGGCUGGUCUCCAAUUCCCAGACUCAAGCAAUUCUCCCACCUCAGCCUCCCAAAGUCCUGGGAUAUGGGUAUGAGCCACUGCCCAGCCAGGAAUCAAAUUAGUCUGUGAAUGUGAAAAAUAAGAAGACAGAGAAAUAUAGACAGAGCUGGGGUCCCAGAGCCUAGGCUGGGGUCCAGACCCCUGGCACCCUUCCUGAACCACAGGCACAGCUCCUCCCCAAUUUCCUCAUCUGCAAAACAGGGAAAACACAACCCCUCCCCUGCCUUGUCUCAUGAUUGCUGCCAGCGGACUCCAAAUGGGAACAGGUGUGUGAAGGUGCAACUGUAAAGUACUUGAAAACUCAAGCAGCUCUUAUCUGAGACGUGCCUGCAUCCAUCCAUUUUAAAUACAGCUAUUAGAGCAAUCGCUAUGCAAGACGGUGUGUGUCAGAUGGAGCUUUCAACAUGGGGCAGAGGCAGGCCCUCUCGAAGCCCUCCAGAACCUUGAUCUCCUACCAAGAAGGGAAUGGGCUGGGGCGGGGGGGGGGCGGUUCUGCCAUCAGUAUUUAAUCCUAAAUCCAUCUAUUUUGGUCAUGUCUACCACUUCCUUCUUCCUUGAACCAGUCAGAUGGGGGGAUACAUAUACAUAUCCCCUGCCCCUAAGGGCCCCUCAGCUGAUGGGGGACAACCAGCCUCAGGUCUCAGGACCCUCCCCACUCAGCAUCCCACCCUCCCAGUUCUGCAGACAGACCCCAGGCAUAGGGAGACACAGCAGCUGUGUGUUGUAGGGUGAGGGCUGAUGAGAGGAGGGAGUGGGCUGGAACCUGCUCUCCACCCACCCACUCACCUCUGGGUUUCUUUGAGCCUCAUUUUUGAGGCUGCCGCCCUGCAGGCUACCUGGGAAUGGGUAGGUCCCUGACUCCCCUGGAGGCCCCAUCCUCCUGAUCUUGCCUACUACAGCCUUUUAGCCCAGCGUCUGGGGCUGAAUGCAGGGAUGACACAGUGGUUCUUCCCACUGUAGUCCUCCCUGCCCCCACUUUGCCCUCCUCCUUGCCACUGAAGAGGCUGGGAUGAUGUUGGAGAGGAGACCAGUGUGGCAGGCCAGGCUAUGAUUUCCAGAAUUUGGCAGGGAGGAAGUGGGUCCACGGGGGACGUGAUCCAGGUUGAAGACAGUAGGGGCCCAGCUGGCCCCUCUCUCCCUGCCCCUGAAUGACGAGGACCCUGCUUCCUCUUCCAAGCUGAGUGAUCUCUCCAAGGAGGGGCACAGAGGAGGGAAAUCCCUGCACAUGCUCUCUGGGCUGCUGAUGGGGGAGUCCCCCAGUAAUGGGAGUGGAAGAUGGAGGCAGAAAGAGAGAGCAGACUAAGCGGGGAAUCUCACGAGGCCUUGGUUCCAGGGUCCUGGAGAGGCCUCAAAUACUGGUCAAAACUGGGCGUGGUGGCUCACACCUGUAAUCCCAGCAC